rnacentral:rRNA from 1 species
UACGAAGGGGGCUAGCGUUGUUCGGAAUUACUGGGCGUAAAGCGCACGUAGGCGGAUAUUUAAGUCGGGGGUGAAAUCCCCGGGCUCAACCCCGGAACUGCCUUCGAUACUGGGUAUCUUGAGUUCGGAAGAGGUGAGUGGAAUUGCGAGUGUAGAGGUGAAAUUCGUAGAUAUUCGCAGGAACACCAGUGGCGAAGGCGGCUCACUGGUCCGAUACUGACGCUGAGGUGCGAAAGCGUGGGGAGCAAACAGG